rnacentral:rRNA from 1 species
AUUGAACGCUGGCGGCAGGCUUAACACAUGCAAGUCGAGCGGGGGAAGGUAGCUUGCUACCGGACCUAGCGGCGGACGGGUGAGUAAUGCUUAGGAAUCUGCCUAUUAGUGGGGGACAACAUCUCGAAAGGGAUGCUAAUACCGCAUACGUCCUACGGGAGAAAGCAGGGGAUCUUCGGACCUUGCGCUAAUAGAUGAGCCUAAGUCGGGUUAGCUAGUUGGUGGGGGAAAGGCCUACCAAGGCGACGAUCUGUAGCGGGGCUGAGAGGAUGAUCCGCCCCACCGGGACUGAGACACGGCCCAGACUCCUACGGGAGGCAGCAGGUGGGAAUAUUGGCCAAUGGGGGGAACCCUGAUCCAGCCAUGCCGCGUGUGUGAAGAAGGCCUUAUGGUUGUAAAGCACUUUAAGCGAGGAGGAGGCUACUCUAGUUAAUACCUAGGGAUAGUGGACGCUAUUCGCAGAAUAAGCACCGGCUAACUCUGUGCCAGCCGCCGCAGUAA